rfam:Triticum aestivum genome assembly, contig: Triticum_aestivum_CS42_TGACv1_scaffold_130498_2BL
AUGGUACUCCCUCCGUACCAAAAUUCUUGUCUUAGAUUUGUUUAAAUACGGAUGCAUCUAAUUACGUUUUAGUGUUAGAUACAUCCGUAUCUAGACAAAUCUAAGACAAGAAUUUUGGGACGGAUGGAGUACAUA